GUAGUACUCCCUCCGUCCCAAAAUUCUUGUCUUAGAUUUGUCUAGAUACAGAUGUAUCUAACACUAAAACGUAACUAGAUACAUCCGCAUUUAGACAAAUCUAAGACAAGAAUUUUGGGACGGAGGGAGUACUAC
rnacentral:pre_miRNA from 1 species